rnacentral:lncRNA from 1 species
AUAACGUAAAUACUGCUGGAAAGGGUAGGCUAGGGUAAGAGUAAGCUAUUAUCAGUCAUUCGUAUUUAUACUUGGCUCUUUCACAGGAGCUGAGCAGAUUUGCUGGAAAGUGUGGUAAACCUGUGAGCAGUUAGAGAAAGCUGCCUGCUAGGGAAAAACACUUUCCCUCUUCCUCAAAUUAUUUAGGGUGAUAAGAAUAAACUUGGGUGACUUUGACAUUUGGUCCAGGGCACUCCAAUCAGUACCAGACCAAUCCGCCUUUGACGCAGAUGGUAAUUUGAUAAUUUCUACAAGAAAUGGUUCAGAUUCCUGCCCUACACUCUGCAGUUCAGACUUCAAUCUCAAUGUAGUUUAAUCUUUAAAGGAUCAUUUGUUUUUUGCCGCAAGGCAUUCUUUAAGUAGACAGCCAGGCUCACUUGGGCACAGGCAAACCUGCACGUCGCAGCACCCAAUCCAAAUGGAAAAAAAAGUCCAGAGGAAACAUUAAUCAGGUGUGAAUCUUACAGAUGAGAAAAUUGUGAGGGGCAGUAGGAUAGCAGAGGAAAAGCAUCUGUCUGGUGUUUGUUGGAUCACCAAGCCCAGGAGGAUGGGUUGCCUAGCAACUCUCAGUCACUUCAGACCAGUGCUAGGCAACAAGAUGCAAUCUGUCAGCCACAUCUGAUCGGUGUUUUCUCCUGGCUUUUAGAAGACAUGUUGGGAGAAUCAAGUAAGAAGAAGGUUGAGAAGGCAUGCUGUCAACUGAAAGCCACAAUAAUAAUGUUUGUUAUUAUCAUACAAUUAGAACCUCGCACUGUGUUUAUCAAAUUUGAUAUCCCUAGGCUAAUAUUUAGGAAACAAUUAAGCUAGUUUAACCAGUCGAAUAAAUUCACUGUAACACUAACCCAGUCCAAGAGAGUAUGGCUCAUCACUUCAGAGCAGAUGGCAACAGACUACAUUUUCUUUGCUGGGUGAACUUCAGAAUCUUUGGAGACUAGGCCCAUGAAUGUUGCUAUGAAAAACUCCUCCAUAUGAUUGUGAUGCCAGGUUUGAGAAUAAUGACAAGGUGAAGAGAAAACUUGCUUCCUAAGGAGGAAGGGGAGGGCUGGGAGAACAAAUGGCUGGAAGGCAAGUAAGUGGUCAAAGGAUGUCAAAGGGUGGGGAGUGCUGGGCAACCUUGACUUUGGGCAGGAAAGAGGUAAUAGGAAACAGUUUCAAAGUCAGUAUCACAGGCUGUGCCUUGCGUGGGUAAUGCAGGGGCUCCCAUCACCCAGCUCAGGGUGGAGUGCUCAGUGUCUGUACCAGGAGAGGGAGCAGAGUCAGUAUUUGCUAGUUCUGGUAAUUGACGAUCAUUUCGCAAACAGAUAUUUCUAAUGUUGGCUUUCAUGCCAAUGACUGAGCUCCCUCCUUCACG